rnacentral:rRNA from 1 species
CCUACGGGAGGCUGCAGUGAGGAAUAUUGGUCAAUGGUCGUGAGCCUGAACCAGCCAAGUAGCGUGAAGGAUGACUGCCCUACGGGUUGUAAACUUCUUUUAUAAGGGAAUAAAGUGCGGCACGUGUGCCGUUUUGUAUGUACUUUAUGAAUAAGGACCGGCUAAAUCCGUGCCAGCAGCCGCGGUAAUACGGAAGGUCCGAGCGUUAUCCGGAUUUAUUGGGUUUAAAGGGUGCGUAGGCUGUGAGGUAAGUCAGCGGUGAAAUGCCCGCGCUCAACGGGGUGAAGUGCGAGUGAUACUGGCUGGCUGGAAGGCGGAUGAAGUGGGAGGAAUGUGUGGUGUAGCGGUGAAAUGCAUAGAUAUCACGCAGAACACCGAUUGCGAAGGCAUCUCACG